CGUAAGCUGUGCGACUGACGGAAGUGGAGCACCACGGGGAGCACAGGGAAGAGAGCCGACCGUCUGGGCAUCGUCU
rnacentral:ncRNA from 2 species